GUCUCAGUGGCGCAAUGGUAGCGCGUUGGACUUCUACCACCAUAACAGCCCCGCUGUGAAAAGGUCAUCCAAAGGCUGCGGGUUCGAGCCCCGCCUGAGAUG